rnacentral:misc_RNA from 1 species
AUAUUUUGAAUUAAGUAUAUUCAUAAUAUGUUAUCAGACGAAUGUUGUUAAAGAUAUAGGUUGAUAUUUGUGAAGGGAAAGAGUUGCCUCUCUCCCAACAAACAUUGCACACAAGGUGGAUAUGGAUUUUAAAGUGCCAUAAAAACACUUAUUGUGAAUGAUCCUUCCGCAGGUUCACCUACGGAAA